GAUGAACGCUGGCGGCGUGCCUAAUACAUGCAAGUCGAGCGAACAGACGAGGAGCUUGCUUCUCUGAUGUUAUCGGCGGACGGGUGAGUAACACGUGGAUAACCUACCUAUAAGACUGGGAUAACUUCGGGAAACCGGAGCUAAUACCGGAUAAUAUUUUGAACCGCAUGGUUCAAUAGUGAAAGACGGUCUUGCUGUCACUUAUAGAUGGAUCCGCGCUGCAUUAGCUAGUUGGUAAGGUAACGGCUUACCAAGGCAACGAUGCAUAGCCGACCUGAGAGGGUGAUCGGCCACACUGGAACUGAGACACGGUCCAGACUCCUACGGGAGGCAGCAGUAGGGAAUCUUCCGCAAUGGGCGAAAGCCUGACGGAGCAACGCCGCGUGAGUGAUGAAGGUCUUCGGAUCGUAAAACUCUGUUAUUAGGGAAGAACAAAUGUGUAAGUAACUGUGCACGUCUUGACGGUACCUAAUCAGAAAGCCACGGCUAACUACGUG
rnacentral:rRNA from 1 species